AUUGUCAGUGAAACGAGUUAAUCUCAUCCUAAUCUGGUCGCAUCACAAAACUUACCUGCUACCGAUUUGGCUUGGGAUUGACUCGUUGAAUUUUGACUAUUGU
rnacentral:pre_miRNA from 13 species